ensembl:lncRNA
UUUCUUUCUUUUUUUUUUUUCUUUUUCCUUUGGUAGUUUUAAUUGGUACUUUGGGCCAGAAGGCGGGGCCUCACUGAGAAAGGAAACUGGCUGAGACACUCUCUGCGUAGGAUCAUCAUGCCGAGCAUAAACUGGACUUUCCCACUUGCCUGGCAGGAGUGAGACAGAUCACUGUGUGCUAAAUGAGCAUCUGAGGAGCGAGGUAUGAAGUACACAAUAAGCAGAGUGAAGUAGAGUGCCAUUUAUCAAACACCGGCCAGAUGUCCUUGGUGUGUGCAUCCCUGUGGAAUCUGGUUCAUCUCCAAUCUGUCAGAAAGCAUCAGAGGUGGUUUUGAGUCCUUAUGUCCUGAGCCUGUGGACAAAAUGUGUGAGUACACUGAAAUAAUGAGGUCAAUUUUACUGUUGUCAAGGGUCUUCUAAAAUGAUUUUAUAAUGGUAGUUGUAUUGGAAUUAAUUUACCCUGUAGUUUCAGGCUAAGUAGGGAAGGGCAAUGUUUGGUUAAGUUUAGAAAAUAUCUUUUGUUGGAAUUGUCUCAUGUGUACAGUUUCAUUCUUUGUCCUAGAAAGGCUUUGAUGGACAUGAUUGAAUUAAGUCCAAGAGAUGUAACUCAGUGAGAAACAAAUAUUAUUUUCUCAGUUAUAACUAUUUUGUAGUUAUCAAAUAGUUUAAAUUUACCAAAUUACAGACCAUGUAUGUAUUCAUAUAUGGAAUUUUCCCAAUGCAGACUAGCAUCCUUUCAUCCAAGUUUUAAGACGGUAGCAUAUUAAGGAUCCCUUCUCUUUGCCUUACUGUCAUUUCAAAGGAAACCCAAAACUUUGAAAGGUUUACUAGUCAAGCUGCUGGUUACAUCCACAAUUUAGAACUUUUAAUGCCCAAGGAAAUUAAUUUUGGAAUUGUUCUGUAUAUCUGUGCCAUGAGAAGAUUGUUCAAAUAAUUAUUUUCAUUUUCGAGAUAUGUUAAUUUGGGGGGAUAAAAUGGUUAUUCUUGCUGGGGAGAAUAUUAGGUUUUAUGGUAUUUUUAUUUCUAGAAAUUCAGAUGAUGACUUUAGAUGUAGGUUUGUGAAUUUUGACCUAAUCGUUGAGUUUUCAUUGCCUUGAGAUGAGAAUUUGCUUAGUUUGUUGGAAACUGGAAGGGGACAGAACAAGCUAGUCAAAUAUAUUUAAUUUGGUUAAAUAGCCUAAUUUAACUAAUACCAGGUAAAACUAAAGAGAUUAUGUUUGACAAUAAUAUUGUUAUUAUUGUUUUUAUUAAAUGUCUGUUUCACGUCUUAGCUCAACACUGAGCCAGCCUGUUGUAUAUUCCUGACCCACUAUAUAACUUUUUUUCUUUCUCCUCCUUUGAUUUACCCAAAGCAGAAGACCAGUUUCCCAUAGCAGCUAGGCUUCUUGAUAAAAUUUGAAUUCAUGAACUUAUAUCUUUGAAGGGCUUUGGAAAGAUUUGAGUUAAGGCUAGAUUGAGGUGAAGAAGAAAGUAUAUCACUUUUUACUUUCAGACUCUUCCUGUAGGAAUGAAAAAUAUAAUCAAGUAUUCUUAAUUAAAGAACAAUUGCUAAAUAGCUAAGCUGAGGAAGUUUCCCAUGAAAUCUUGUUCAAUUUAUGUAGCUUAUAUUUUAUUACACAUACCAAUUAGGGAUUGUUGCAAGGACUAGGUAGCUAUUCAAAUUAGCCCAAGUUAAAGUUUUAUUAUAAGAUUUCUGGGAGUCUCAGGGGACCUAGCAGUUAUGGCAAGAAUUUUAAUUUCUAGCCAGUUAUAAUUUUAGGAGAAAGGUUAAACAUGAUAGUUCAUUCUCCUAUUUUGCUGCACAGUUUUUGAGAGAGGCACAUUUAUGACAUUUAUUUCAGUAAUUAGAAUCAAAUAAACCCAUCCACAAGCAACAACCUUUUUUACAUAAUCUAGCUGUUAUUGAAAAGGUAUGUCAGUAUAUUUCAAGAGCUUUCAAGCAAAUCAAUUACAAAGCUUUGCCAAUGGAAUUGAUUUAAAAUAUUUCUUCUCUUAGAGUUUCCUGCAACCAUGAUUUAAAUAUCAAAAAGUGAUGGAAUUUUCUUUCAGAUCAGUCAUUGAACACAUUGAGUUACUUUUUUCAAUUUCUAAAUCUUCUCCCUUUGAUAAUCUGUGUUUAUUCCUCAACUAUCACCCUUUCCAUGUUAAUACACCAAAUAUAUCGAGUUUACCUUUUACAGGCAUUUUCUUUUUGAUAGGCAUAUCUGUGCUAAGUGAAUCAGUUUCCCUGUCUUUUAGACAUUAUUCUCUCUUUUUUUUUUUUUUUUUUUUUUUUGCUUUCUAGGGCCACACCUGUGGCAUAUGGAGGUUCACUCCCAGGCUAGUGGGUCAAAUCAGAGCUACAGCCAUUGGCCUAUAACACAGCCACUGCAAUGCAGAAUCUGAGCCACGUCUGUGACCUGCACUGCAGCUCAGGGCAAAGCCAGAUCAUUAACCCACUGAGCAAGGCCAGGGAUCAAACCCGCAACCUCUUGGAGUUCCGCUGCACCAUGACGGGAACUCCAGCACUGGAUCUUGAACCCACUGAGCCACCAAGGAACUCCUAGACAUUAUUCUUUUUCUUGCAAAUGUCCAUCCUAGAGGCCUCACUUUCAUCCUGGGACAUUCCUUUUAUUUUUUCCCUGGCUCCUUCUUUUCUGAUUCUCUUUGUUUGGUUAUUGCCAACUUUUCAAUAAAUUUCAUUUUCCACAGGAUUCCUGAAGAGAAUACAUAGGAGGUAAAUUUUUUGUGGCCUUGGAUAUGCCAGGAUUCCCUUACUCUAUAAAUAUACUUGAUUUUUAUUUAUGUUCUGUUAAAUACAUUGGUUAUGUACUGAAUUUUAGAUUGGAAGUAAUUUUCCCUCAAAAUAUUUGUCUUCUUUCAUUCUUUUAGUUUUUCCUAUUUCUGUCCGGGAAUCGGACUCCAUUCAGAUUCUAGAGUCUAUAUUUGGGUUUCUUUCUUUCAUGCUAGAAGAUUUUUCCAUAUGUUUGAUUAUCCUUGGCUAUCUCCUAUAUAUAAGAAUUAAGGGGCCUCAUAAUUAUUGGUAAAACUUUUAUAAUGAGAAUGCAUAAUGGUGAGAUUUAUUACAGUGUUAUAAGGUGACAAUAUGGUUUUUUAAUUGAGAGAUCCUAAAGCUCAUGUACGGACAUGUUUUCUCUGGGCCUUUUAGUUUCUUUAGAGAAGACUUCUCAAAUUAUGCUUGGAGGAUAAAAGCCUAAUGGUCUAUGUUGUGGAAACUAAACCAGAAAAUAACCUGCUCUUUUACCAUUCAGUACAAGGAUUUGCAUUUCACCUUCUUUUACUCAAUAGGACAUCUCAUCCUGUCUUCUGCUGUAUUAACUUCAACAGAAUACAAACUUCUGAUCUUCUGUUGGGGUCAGGGAAAGGAUCUAAUGUUUUUAAAGGUAAACUUUCAACCAAUCCUUUUGUGUUAUUAAUACACUCCUUAUCCACUAUAUUAACAUCUUGCUUUCAGAGAUAACUGUUAUUUUCAUGAGCUAAGACUUUCUGGGCUUUUGAGGUAAAAUUGGCAGCUUCCUGUUGGCUUUCUUCACUUUAUUUUUAUUUAUUUUUUGUUGUUUUUUUUUCUUUCUAGGGCUGCACCCGUGGCACACAGAGGUUCACAGGCUAAGGGUUCCAAUUGGAGCUGUUGCUGCCGGCCUAUGGUAGAGCUACAGCAAUGCCAGAUCCGAGACGUGUCUGUGACCUACACCACAGCUCACGGCAACGCCGGAUCCUUAACCCACUGAGUGAGGCCAGGGACCGAACCUGCAGGCUCAUGGUUCCUAGUCGGAUUCGUUUCCGCUGUGCCACGACAGGAACUCCGGCUUCCUUCACUUUAUGUAGAGCUUUCAGCUUUAUCUGGCUUGCUAAGCAGUUACCAUUCAUCCAUUUAUCUUCCAAAACUUCAGAAAUGUUUUUGAUAUUGCUUAUCUGGUAUCUUCUAUUGUUUUCAUUCUUAUGGGUUUAUAAGUUUAAAAUUCACUCGCUGUCAGUUUAGUAUGGGUUUGCAAGGGCGAAGAAUAAAUACAUAUGUACAUCCACCAUCAUGCUUAAUCAUAAGUAUCUUAAAUCUGUACGUGGAAAAGAUAGUGAUACUGCCAUGGUGUGACGUUAAUACUAUUUAAAUAUUAUCAAUUUAUCACUAUCACAUCUGCAGGUAAAGUAGGAAUAAGUACUCUGAAUGCAUAAAGGCCUGCCUUUCUCAGCUCUCAUGCUGUUUUCUCAGUAGAAGAUCUAAUUCACCUGAAACCUUUACAGAGCCUCCUGCCUGAGUUCUCCAGUUGCAUUUCACAGAGCCUUCUGUUGUAAGAGUUACUACAUUUUCUUCUCUCUGUUUAUCUUUUUCUCACUAAGCUUCAGCUUCUUUAAGGCAAACAUUAAGCCUUAUUCAUCUUUGUACUCCCUGGAAUUAGCACACUGCUUAGCAAAUAGUAGGUGUUCCAUAUAUAUUUAUGUUGAAUAAAUAAUGUUAAUAAUUUGCCUGCAACUCCAAGGAACUCUUAACAUCUCAUAUCUAAAGUAAUUACUCUCCAGUAUUUUUCUCUUCUGCUCUUAUCUCUCUCCCAAUGUCAAUUAGCAAGAUACACUUUUACUCAUCACUUGAACUGAGUAUAGAUGAAUUUUGUAUAUUUCUAGUGCUUACUUAAUUUUUACAAUUUAAACUGAGACUGUUUAAUCAUUUGAAGUAUUUUAAUUUUUAAAACAAUUUUCUCCAGAAUGAAGCAACAUAGUUUUUAAUCUGUGGGCCAUUUUGGGGCAUUUAUCCAAAUAUUUUUGCUUUUUAGGAUAAUGAUACAUGGUAUAAGGUGAUGGCCAGGCUUAGACCAUUAGACUGUUAACAUAAUUCAAGAGAUGUUUACAGCUCAGGUGUUAUUUCCAGGACAUUGUACUUAGCACUGUUUGGAAAUCAAAAUGAAUAGGAAGAAAACUCCUGUCAUUAAAAAGUUUACACAUAUAUACACAUACAUACAUUCCUAUAUACAUAUUUAUUCACAUACACACAACACACAUACCCACAUGAUGGAAUUUUACUCAGACAUAAAAAAUGAAAUAAUGCCAUUUGCAGCAACAUGGAUGAACCUAGAGAUUAUUAUACUAAGUAAGUCAAACAGAGAAAGGCAAAUAUCAUAUAUCGCUUAUAUGUGGAAUCUUAAAAAAAGAUCCAACUUAUUUACAAAACAGAAAUAGACUCUCAUACAUAGAAAGCAAACGUGGUUAUCAUAGGGGACAGGAGGGGGAGGGAUGAGUUAACAGAUACACGCUACUAUAUAUAAAAUAGAUAUAGAACAAGGACCUACUAUACAGUACAGAGAACUGUAUUCAAUGUCUUAUGAUAAUCUGUAGUGGAAAAUAAUCCAAAAAAGAACACACACACAUAAUACAUAAUCAUUACUUUGCUGUAUACCUGAAAUACUGUAAAUGAACUAUACUUUAUUUAUUUAUUUAUUUAUUUAUUUUGCUUUUUUUUUCUUUUAGGGCUGCACCUGUGGCAUAUGGAAGUUCCCAGGCUAGUGGUUGAAUUGGAGCUGCAGCUCCCGGCCUAUGCCACAGCCACAGCAACAUGGGAUCUGUGCCACAUCUUCAACCUACAUCACAGCUCACAGCAACAUUGGAUCCGCUACCUACUGAGCGAGGCCAGGGAUCGAACUCACAUGAAAACUAGUCAGAUACAUUUCCACUAAGCCACAAUGGGAACUCUUUAACUAUACUUUAAUAAAAUAGUUUAUAUUAUAAUAAAUGAAAAAAUACAGAAUGAUGCCCUUUAGAAAGGUAAAAAAUAUAGUGAAUAUUAUGAAAUUCAGAAGAGGGCAGAGAUCACAAAUAUAUGGAAUCAAGAAAAGUGGUUUUUUUGGGGGGGAGCAGUAUUUCAAAUGUUCUUUAAAGAAUGGCAGAAAUAAAAGAAUCAAAUAGAAAGGAAUGAGAAAGUAGAGUAAGAGGCUCAGAAAACAUAAUUCGAUGUGUUUGGAAAUAGGAAGUAGUUGGUUAGAGAGUAGAGGAUACAUACGGAUACAUGAAAGAAAGAGCCAGAAAAUGUAGGCCAAGCCAUUUUGCAGAGGACUUUGACUGUCAGGCUAAGGUAUUUUUACUCAAUGCAGUAGCCAAUGAGGAAACACUGAAGGUUUUAAGCUAGGGAAUAGUAAUAUUUGAACUAAGAUAUAAAAAUAUUAGUGAGACAGAUAUAUUAGAAGAGAAAAGGGAAAAGGAGAGACCAAUUACGAGGUUACUCUUGUAGCCUGGGAAAGAAAAAUGAGCUUCUGAGAAGAGUAAAGACACUAAGAAUAGAACAUAAUUUAAAAAAUAUGUUGAUUACUCUCUAUUUAUAUUGCUAUUCAGUUGUUUAUUUAGCCAUUCUCUGUCUCCUUUCACUAGGAUGUAAUAUCCUUAAGAGCAAGAAUCUUUUCUUUUCCCUUGUGCCCUGAUUGCCAAUGUCUGAGGUAGUGCUUGCAAUAUUGUAGUUGCUCAGGAAAUGCUUCUUGGAGGAAUUAAACAGACAGAAGGAAAAAAAAAAGAAAAAAAAA